UCGGGGGUGUAGGUGCGGGCUGGGGCCUGAUUCCGGGGCGCGGAGGACUUGAUGGGGUUUCCGGCUUCGAAAGCUGAUGUGGCAGGUUGGUGGUGAGCAGGGCUCGGGAUCCACGGUGACGACGACAAGACAGGCGCCGCUCCUCAUCCAGCGGGCUGCCCGGCGUCCGGCUACGCAAGUGCCAACCCUUGACCCCUCUCAGCCGCCCUGCUCACAGAGGAGGGGCCAAGGGAGGCCACACAGCAGAAGGCCAGCGCUGGGAGAGCCCAAGUGCCCAGCCACAGGCCACAGCUGGACUUGAGCUGCGUGCGGAGGGGCAGGGGAGAGGGAGGUGGGAGGAAGGGUGGGGACCUGCUGCGCAUCCCACCUGCUGCCUGGCCAAGGGAGGGCAGGGGGCGCCCCAGACCGACCUGAGUGGUACCAGGCCUGGCUGGCUGGGGAGGAGAAGCCCCUUGUCCUUUUGGCACUACAGGGCUGAGGAGCCCCGGAGCCUGUACCGACCUUGCCCAGGAGGGCAUCGGCCGGGACAGGCUGCAGCGCUUGGCCUCCCCUCUGCUCCCCUCUGCAGGAGCACAGCCCACUGACAAGCAGCCAGGUUACGGCGUGGCUGUGGAGACUGGCUCAGAGCUCACUGGUGGGACCUGGGGCCACCCGGGUUCAGACUCCGUUUCCAACCCUUGGUGCAGCGGCAGGUCCUCCCUGAGGAUUUCAGGCUAGAGUCAGAUUGAAGAAUCGCCAGCAGGUGGCGCGGUCGGCCCAUCCGCUCUACCAGGUCAGUGGGUAGAAUUUUAGGGGAUUAGGGAGUGAGUUUCACCCCAAAGCGUGAAUCUGCAUCAGAAUUCAAGAGGUGGCAGAAUGAGUCUGAUCUCCUCUGGCAGAAGGGUAGAGGGCCGUGUGGACCUGCGCCAGGCUUGAGGUGGCCGGCUGGAGUCCAGCCCUGGCGUGGGGCUGCCGUCCUCGGGCUGGGCCUGCGGUACGGGGUCGCUCCAGUUUAAACUGAGUGUGCCACUUCCUGCAUGCAGUGAGGCCGCGCCACUGGCCAUGCUGACCAGGAGCACUGCCGGGCUGCUGUCUGACCUCACCAGCUGUGACUUCAGCAGGUCCUCGGUCACCCACAGAGACCUCUCACAUACAUUCUGCUAUAACCCCCAGACCUCUGUUUUCAGCUCUGUGAAAUGGGAAUGCUGAUAGAAUUAGCUGGUGUUUAUUUAAGGAACCUACCAUGGCAGCACAUGAGUCGUCUGGAUCACAGGCCACCUUGGAGCAGGAGUGUGACUAUCCGCACACAGUGUCCCAUGUCCCUCCUUGGGAUUCCUGCUCCGGUCCCUCACUGAGGCCUGCUGCAUGCCUCAGUCCUGGUCCCUGCCUCAUCUCCCACCUCCACCCAGCACCACCCAGCAGCCUACUGGGGAAGCCACCGGUCAGCUGCCAGCUUGUCUGUCCCCCUCUGCUCCACCAGGGAGGCCGGCUUCACCGGGCACAGCCUUCCUGCUUGGGUGGCCGCUGUACCGCCAAGCCUGGCACACAUCGGUGCUCAGAAAAGCAGUGCUGGGAGGAAAGAAGAAGGAAAAACAGUGUGGGUCAGCUUGUUGCCCCUGUUCUCACUAAGGUGGUCUCAGCCUGUGACUCCCUCCCCCAAUCCCCAGGGCUCAGGGUCCUCCUGUAAGAUGCCAGGUGGGGUGCACCCCUGUCCUGGGACUGGGAGUGGGGAUUCCCAGGCAGAGAUGCCAAUGCAGGGGGCAGGAUGUUGGGAGACACGGAAAGCUGGAGAAGGCUGUGUGCGUGUCCAGACGCCACACGCUUUGGUGCUGGGCCCGGGUCCCCGAUGGAGCAGGUGCCCUGGGGGUGCAGAGCAGAGGUGGGCACUGCUGCCUUUUGUGGGGAGUGGCUUCUGGACAAACCCGGAGAACAGGUUCCUCAACGCUGUGGCUGCCUGGAGGGCUUGGCGGCCCAGGAAUGCACCUCACUCUACCGGCUGGCAUGGGUGUGCAGCGGCCAUGGGGUGGGCAGGGGCUGGGGGCAACUGGGCAGGGGAGGGGAGUCCUGGGUGCAGAUGGGCAGCACCUCCAGAACGGAGCCAGGGCUGCACACACUGGGACUCCCACCAGCCCCCUGAGCAGAGGCCUCCUCAGCCAAGGGGUGGUCCCAUAGCAGUGCCCAGUGUGGGGGGGGGCUCGUUAGGUGGGGUCAGGACAAGGGGCCGGAGUGCAGAGACUGGGCUUGGGGCUUGGGCUUGUCUGGGAGGUGAUGUCCGUGAUUCCAGGGCACAGGUGGGUGGCUGGGGACCAGCGUGUCCUUGUGCUGGUCAGGGAUAGGAUUUUCCUGGCAGACCUGUGCGUCUGGCAGGAGCAGAGCCAGCCUGGCACUCUGGGGGCUCGGGGCCAUGGUCAGGGUUUCACAGGAGCCACAACAGGAAUCCAAACUUGGGGGCUGAGGAAGGGGUUACCAUCAUGUGGCAGAGCUAAGAGAUCAAAGCUCAGAGAGGCUGUUCUUUGGUUAAAGCAGGCGCCGGGUGAACCCCAGGUCUGUCUGGUCCCACACUUGUACCCUAAUGGUUUUGCCUGUUGCUGGGCGGGGGUGGGGUCUCCAUGUAGGUGUGGCCAUCAUCCUGGGCUGAGCUGGUUGGUAUGACACUAAGGGCCCAAGGAAGAGACAAUUCAGGAGGGCUUCCUGGACUAAGAGGCUUUGCACUGGCAGAAAGAGAUGGAGGGCUCUAUCUGGACAAGGGGGGGGGGUCAUCCUCUCGGCCUCUUGUGGUGCUGGAGAGAGAAAGAAAGGGAGGCAGGGGGAAGGCCAGGCCCCUGCAGGGUGGGGUGUCCAGAAAAGUGAAGACCCAUGGACCAGGGAGAGCCCGAGAGAGAAGCCUCAGCCACCCCACGGGCUGGGCAGGGUGUUGAGAGCGGCACCAGUCACCCGUGCACUCCUCUCACUCCGGCCAGGGGAGUGGCCUCCAUCCCGGGGUGCGGGGAGGUCAGGCCCUGUCCUGGGGCCAUGUCCUGGGUGGGGCUGUGGGCAGGUGGCCACUUCCAAGGGACCGAGUGCUGGAGGCUCUUUGGAGACUCUCCUGGGGCGCCACUGUCCUCCUAGCAGCCUCUUCAUCGUGGCGAGCGGGGGAUGGGGCUGCUGCGUCUGCACAGCGGUGCGACCCUUGACAGGUCCCCACCUCUCCUGGGCCUUGGUUUCCUCUUCUGUGGUGAAAGGCUGUAGAGACACUCACCUCUCCGGGCCCUGGGAGCCACAGGACACGUGCACAGUGCUGGCAGGCACGGACCCUGGGCGGCCGAGUGGGCUCGGGGUCCUGGGAAGUGCGGCCAGCAGGUGGUAAAAGCCUCCGCCGGCAGAGCAGGGGUUUGUCGGUGCCUGUGCCGGGGAGGUCAGUCUGGGGGGCACUGCUGACCUGUCCCUGCUCUGUUUGCAGCGCAGGUGCUGGCCUGCAGUAGGAGCUCCCCCCUGUGGUAGGGGGAGGGACUGUGUGGGCGGGUGACGCCGGUAGGACAGGUGCUCCUCGGGACCCCCCCUGCCCCUGUCUCUUCCAGGUCAGGGCUCUGUCGGCUGCGGUGCUGCGUCUGUUGCUUUCUGAGCAUGGGAUCUGCAGAUCUGUUCCAACCUACUGACGUCAGCAGCUGCCAAGGGCAAUAGCCCCUCCCUCUCCUCCGGCCCCGCUCGGGGUGCACUCCGGGGAGGGGGUACUCAGCACCCACUUUACGGAUGAGGAAACCAAGACUCAGAGAGAAGCUUCUGGGCUGUGGUUUCGAACUGCGUUCUGACCGUGAGACCCCCACUUUCUCAGGAGUCCUCAAGCGCAGAGAGCUGCAGGGACCACUCCUCACGACUGAUGGAUCUCCGUUUGCCCGUCUGGUCCCGCCGAGAUGCGCCCUGGAGGGUGUUCGCGGUUCGUCUUUUGUCUUUGGUGUUUCUCAGCAUGGAUAGUGUUGUUUUGCCGCAAUUUUAAAAAAUCAGGAAACGGACCUGUUUCCAACCUGAGCAAUUUCUUGGGGACCCCGAGGUGUUUUGUGCAGCGGUGACUGAGCCGUGCGCAUGGGCUCGCAAGCAGGCUGGGAGGUCUCCAGGAAUUCUGAGAGCUGGUUGUGACACACGGCCUUAUUAAAAUCGAAUUAAACUAAUUAAAUUAUGUAAAACAUAUAAAUUAUAAAAAAAAGCAAGGUAAUGAACAGUCACUUCUCGCCUCCUGAUUAGUCACCAUGCUGUUAUCUGCACCCUUAUCUUGACACCAAGUAGCCCCGUGCAGUCUGCCCCGCGGAAGUCCCGGGGGGAUGGGGUGUGACUGCGUUUCCUCCCAGCUGGAAAUUGGCUGCCACGGGCAUUUUUCCAUGGAAAUUGGCAAACAGCACCCAUCAAGGCUUUUACCCCCAGGGAGCUGGUUGGUAAAUCUUGACCAGGACGUUCCUGGUUAUUAGUAUUAGCUGAUAUUUACUACAUUAGACAUGAAAACUAAUCACUUAAAACACUCUUGUUGAUGCAGUCUUACUAAAUAAAAACCAACUGAUUAUGUGUGAAUAUAAAGAAUAUUCCUCAUUUUUUGUUGGGGUGGCGUUGAGGUGUGGUAUUCUGUUAGUUUCAGGUGCACUCCCGUCCUGCGCGUCACGCCGCCCCCAGCACAAUGAUGUAAUUGCAUCUUGCUGACUGUAUUCC